AGAGUUUGAUCAUGGCUCAGAAUCACGCUGGCGGCGUGCCUAACACAUGCAAGUCGACGAGAAAGUGGAGCAAUCCAUGAGUAAAGUGGCGCACGGGUGAGUAACACGUGACUAACCUACCCUUGAGUGGGGGAUAACUGAGGGAAACCUUAGCUAAUACCGCAUAAUACCUACGGGUCAAAGGAGCAAUUCGCUCGAGGAGGGGGUCGCGGCCGAUUAGUUAGUUGGCAGGGUAAUGGCCUACCAAGACGAUGAUCGGUAUCCGGCCUGAGAGGGCGCACGGACACACUGGAACUGAAACACGGUCCAGACUCCUACGGGAGGCAGCAGUGGGGAAUUUUGCGCAAUGGGGGAAACCCUGACGCAGCAACGCCGCGUGGAGGAUGAAGUCCUUCGGGACGUAAACUCCUUUCGAUCGGGACGAUUAUGACGGUACCGGAAGAAGAAGCCCCGGCUAACUUCGUGCCAGCAGCCGCGGUAAUACGAGGGGGGCGAGCGUUGUUCGGAAUUAUUGGGCGUAAAGGGUGCGUAGGCGGUUUGGUAAGUCUUGUGUGAAAUCUACAGGCUCAACUUGUAGUCUGCACGAGAAACUGCCGGGCUUGAGUAUGGGAGAGGUGAGUGGAAUUCCUGGUGUAGCGGUGAAAUGCGUAGAUAUCAGGAGGAACACCUGUGGCGAAAGCGGCUCACUGGACCAUAACUGACGCUGAUGCACGAAAGCUAGGGGAGAAACAGGAUUAGAUACCCUAGUAGUCC
rnacentral:rRNA from 1 species